UACGGAGGGUGCGAGCGUUGUCCGGAAUCACUGGGCGUAAAGGGCGCGUAGGUGGCGCGGGCAGUCAACGGUGAAAGUUCGGGGCUCAACCCUGAAUCGGCCGUCGAUACUCCCGUGCUUGAGCACUGUAGAGGCAGAUGGAAUUCCGGGUGUAGCGGUGGAAUGCGUAGAGAUCCGGAAGAACACCCGUGGCGAAGGCGGCUCUCUGGGACGGUACUGACGCUGAGACGCGAAAGCGUGGGGAGCGAACAGG
rnacentral:rRNA from 1 species